UCGCCUGUUUAUCAAAAACAUUUCUAAAUGAAAAUUAUUUUUAGUAAGACCUGCUCAAUGAUAUUUUAAAUUGCCGCAUUCAAUGUGCUAAGGUAGCAUAAUCAUUUGCCUUUUAAUUGUAGGCUUGCAUGAAUGGUUAUUCAUGUAGAUUUCUUUAUUAACUUUAUAACUUAAAGUUUUCUUAAAAGUUAAAAGACUUUUAUUUAUAAGAGGGACGACAAGACCCUAUCGAGCUUUACUUAUGUUGAACUGGGGCGGUAAAAAACAAAUUCUUUUUUAUUUUCUUUCAAAUAUUCUUUUUAUAAAAUCUUUUUAAGUUACCGUAGGGAUAACAGCAUUAUUUUCUUUUAUAGUUCCUAUUAAAAAGAAAGUUUAUGACCUCGAUGUUGAAUUAUUAAUCUUUUUGAAGCAAAAUUCAAAAAAGAAAGUCUGUUCGACUUUUAAAAUUUUACGUGAUCUGAGUUC
rnacentral:rRNA from 2 species